CCAGCGAGGGUGGGGGUAUUCAGAAUGAGCAUAUAUAAAUAUAUUGACUACGAGAAUGUGGGAAAAGUUAAUCAAUUACAAAAAACACCAGAUUAUCAUACAUAGUGAGCAAUGCAUGAGAAUGAAAUAACGGUUCGUAAUUGUGUAGCCUAAUUUGUCGAGGAUUCUAAUAUUAUUAGUGAUCUUUAACCUUAAUUAUGCGGGGUUGUCUUGUUCACACGUCACUUAACUUUGCACGCGCUGUUACCGAUAGCAGUUUUCAGGAAAGAAAAAUGUUUAUUUAAAAAGUGCAGGUUAAAACAGUGCGUUUAAGGCGAUAAUGCAACUUGCAGUUGGUAGCUUUAAUUUCUGUAUUCGGAAUAGUUGCAGACAUGCUUUUUCGUGAUUUAUUCGCUCGACUGCACCCGCACAAUGAAAUUUGCCAAUGGGCGAAUGGAUAAUGUCGGAGCAACCAGAGGCCAUGAAUGAUAGCUGUACUUCUCAAGGACAGAAUAGAUAAGUAUCAAAGAAAUCGCAGUUAAGGAGGUAGUGGUGUUCGGUGCCAACCUGACCCGAAUUACAUAGCCUGCAGACUCUAUCUUCAAAUGGGGUUCCGUCGUAUCGGCCUGUCUCGACUGGAAACCAGUGGUUAGCAGUCCUGAAUUGGAAUAGGGAAGGUGCUGGUGGAUGCUUGAUGGAAGACUGAUUGCAGCUCAUCAGUUAUGUGCUCUAUGGUCUGCUGCGAUUUGGGGUUGGAUGAGGGUUCUGUCCCCCCACUGGCCUAAUGGCUAUGGUUGCUGUCUGCUGUGGUCCUACUAGGCCA